rnacentral:misc_RNA from 1 species
AACGCACGAGACCUGCGGACCUGCGGAGGGAUCAUUACUGAGUGAGGGCCCUCUGGGUCCAACCUCCCACCCGUGUUUAUUGUACCUUGUUGCUUCGGCAGGCCCGCCUCACGGCCGCCGGGGGGCUUUCCGCCCCCGGGCCCGCGCCUGCCGGAGACAAUCUUGAACGCUGUCUGAAGAAUGCAGUCUGAGCGAUUAAGCAAAAUUAGUUAAAACUUUCAACAAUGGAUCUCUAGAUCG